ensembl:lncRNA
UAGGCAUCAAGCUUAGGUUACCUGGUAAAUAUACAGCUAUUUAGUAAUGUUAAUUAAUGGACUAAAGAAAAGACAAUGAUAUUUAUUACAGUGUUUUCUUUUUUCUUUUAUUUGUUUAACUUUUCUUUUAGGUUCAAGGGUACAUGUGCAAGUUCGUGACAUCGAUAAAUUGCAUGGCAUGGGGAUUUGGUGUGCAGAUAAUCUCAUCACCCAGGUCCCACUCCAGGUUUUGCCCAAAUCUUUCUGAUUGGUGGAACUUAAAUCACGCCCAAAAUCCCAGCUGCAGGAGAGCUCUGAGAUUUCAUCUUUCCAGCCUCUGUGUGCUACAUGGGGGUUGGAGCACUUGCUGACAAGCCCUGCAACCACCAUUGACAGGAUGUCCUACACCUUUUCAAUCUGAUUUGCUCUUUGCCAUGCAGACCUGUGGAUGAAGAGCCAGAGUCCUCCAAGGUAAAUGCUCCUGGCCAGUGGCCUGUUGUCUGUGUUAACUGAACAUCUCCAACGCCCUCGGAGUCCGCAACCACCAUGAAGUCACUUAUCAAGUCAUUUGACUUGGGAUGCCCAGGUAUUUGAUCACAGUUUUUCUAUAAGCAAAGCUCCAAAUUCAAACUUUGGCCCGACAUUUGAUAUGUCUACUAUCUCUACUCCACCCUGGCUCCAUGCUGGCUGUUAAAAUCACAAGGGCGCUUUCCGGGUCCUACCCGGUGCAGCCACUGCCUGCAGGAGCCUGGCUGAGGCUCCGGGGAGACACUAAUGGAGAGCCUGGCGUGUGAAUAACACAAAUGCAGCCUCUUCCUCUCUACCUCUUCCUUCCAUCCAGUUCCUGCCUUGCUACCUUUCUUUUCUGCCUCUUAUAGCCAUUAAAUUCAGGUCACUGCUAUUUGCCUUUUUGUCAUCUCAUGAGAAUUACAAGGGUCAGCUGGAGACUUCAUCUCCUAGGAAAUGAGGCAUCACAUCUGUGCACCUGGCCCUCUUGUAGGCACCCCUGGCCAUCCCCAUCUUGCAACCUGCUAGACGUUUUUCUGUCUGGUCUUGUACGUGAGCACCUGUGCUAAUCUGUCACUCCUGAUCUAGGUGUGUUCCCAGCUUUUCCUGGAAUUGUCUGAUGGUCUCACAAUUCCACUUUAGUCAUGUUUAUCUUCCUAUAUGAGAAUGAUGCAUAGCUAUACUUCAUACAUAUACUGUACACGUAAACAUAGCAAAUAGAAGAAACAGAAUGUGCAUCUGUCUACAGUAACAAUAUCUUUCUUCCCUGGACUGCAACAAACAUGCCAUUGUAUUGGGAGACUGUUGUAAAAGUUAAUCCUAGGAUGCACCUGGUUGUCUCUGCUAAAAUAAUUUGCAGCUAAAUUAGAUGAUUAGACUAUGCAUAUUGAAAGACAUGGAAGGGCUGGGUGCGGCGGCUUAUGCCUAUAAAUCCCAGCACUUUGGGAGGCCGAGGCGGGUGAAUCAUCUGAGGUCA